rnacentral:rRNA from 1 species
CAGCACAUCGUCCGCUUAUUGCGUGCGGAGGAUA